AAGUAAGAAGCAAAUUUAUUGUAAUCAGUUUCGACCUGAUAGUAAGAUAUAUACAUAUCCUUGCUUG
rnacentral:tRNA from 1 species